rnacentral:rRNA from 1 species
CGGCGGACGGGUGAGUAACGCGUGGGUAACCUGCCUCAUACAGGGGGAUAACAGUUAGAAAUGACUGCUAAUACCGCAUAAGACCACGGUACCGCAUGGUACAGUGGUAAAAACUCCGGUGGUAUGAGAUGGACCCGCGUCUGAUUAGCUAGUUGGUGAGGUAAUGGCCCACCAAGGCGACGAUCGGUAGCCGGACUGAGAGGCUGAACGGCCACAUUGGGACUGAGACACGGCCCAG